GGGUGCGAUCAUACCAACAUUAAUGCGCCGGAUCCCAUCAGAACUCCGCAGUUAAGCGUGCUUGGGCCAGAGUAGUACUGGGAUGGGUGACCUCUAGAGAAGUCCUAUUGUUGCACCCU
rnacentral:rRNA from 1 species